CCCCUAGAUGUUCUGGGCCGCACGCGCGCUACACUGAACAGUUCAACAAGUCUUAACCUUGGCCGAUAGGUCUGGGUAAUCUUUGAACGCUGUUCGUGAUUGGGAUAGACCUUUGCAAUUAUGGGUCUUCAACGAGGAAUUCCUAGUAAACGCAAGUCAUCAGCUUGCAUUGAUUACGUCCCUGCCCUUUGUACACACCGCCCGUCGCACCUACCGAUUGAAUGGUCCGGUGAAAUCUCGGGACGGCGGCUUGGUCGCUUGCGUCCGACUGCUGAAACUUGAUUAAACCAUAUCAUUUGGAGGAAGGUGAANUCGUAACA
rnacentral:rRNA from 1 species